rnacentral:lncRNA from 1 species
GGAGGCGUCCCCACUUCCAUAAGAGAAAACAAGGGCCACGAUGCCUUUAGCCUAGGGUAAUUAGACCUGGUUUUAAAUCUCUAUGGCAUCCCGUACAUAAGGUAGCCCGGACCCUUCUGCUUCCCGGCCUCUUCUGUUUUUCAGCCAGAGCACACACUUUACAGACUUUUAACCAAGCAUUUGCUAAUUACUAGCUAUCUCACUUUGGGCAAGUCCGCAAGUCUCUAAAAGGAGGAUAUUAAAUACCCCUGUGGCGCUCUGAUCAAAAGAUCUCCCAAAGUUAAAGCACUUAACCUGCAAGUCUUAACAGAGAGCAAGGACGCUAUAAAGGAUGGUUAAUUUAUGAUUGUGUGCAAACGACUACUUGAGGCUUUGCCUGGAUGGUAAAGUUUUGUCUGCGAGAUGAAGAGGAGGACCAGAGGGGGUCAGCGACCUCCAAAUGUCUAUGUGAACGUUUACACUAUGGGUCCUUGUUUUUCAUCAUGUUGUCAAAAGUAAUGAACACCUUCCUUGGACUUGAAAGAAGAGCCCAUUAUCACUGCCAUCUUUGUCAAGAAACUAGUUCUAAUCAUAGAUUGGAGGGAGGCAAUACCUCAGCUGUAGACUCAGAGCACCCUGGAUUUUGCUCCUGGCUUUCCUACUGAUCAGUGGUGUGACUCUGGGCAGGUGAAUCUAACUUGCUGAGCUAUUAUUUCCUGUCUAUGGAAUGACAGUUGUCACCACGUGCCUGGCAAGAUGUGGAGGAUGGCAUGAGAUAAAGUUGAUAAGAAAGUGGUGUUAAUGGGCAUCUUAGCAAAUGCUUUCUUUCCAUGCUGACUUCAUGUCCUCUCUCCUCUCAGUGAGCUGUAUGUUCUAUAUAUCCUAUUAGUUGAGACUGUUAUCUCUUUAGGUGAGUACCCUUUCAAUAUAUUUUAAAAUA